UAAAGGUGGGCAAGUGAAGAAGGGAUCCAGGGUGUUUGCACCAUUUUCAAGUCCCUCCCUCCACCUAUAAGGAUAUUGAUUUUUUUUUUUUUUUUUUUUUUUUUUUUUUUUUUUUUUAAGAGUUCAAGAAGAUGAACGUAUUAUUGAUUAACUAAAAUGUAAAUUAGUAAUUGAUUAUUGUGAGGGAAUGACAUGAGGGAGAGAAAUUAACUGCAAUGACUGGAAGUAGUGGCUGGUGCCCU
rnacentral:misc_RNA from 1 species